rnacentral:rRNA from 1 species
GACGAACGCUGGCGGCGUGCUUAACACAUGCAAGUCGAACGGAAAGGCCCCUUUGGGGGUACUCGAGUGGCGAACGGGUGAGUAACACGUGAGUAACCUGCCCUUGACUUCGGGAUAACUUCAGGAAACUGGGGCUAAUACCGGAUAGGAAUCCUUGCUGCAUGGUGGGGGUUGGAAAGCUUCGGCGGUUUUGGAUGGACUCGCGGCUUAUCAGCUUGUUGGUGGGGUAGUGGCUUACCAAGGCUUUGACGGGUAGCCGGCCUGAGAGGGCGACCGGCCACAUUGGAACUAGGAUACGCCCAGACCCCCACCGGGAGGAACAGGUGGGAAUAUUUGAACAUUGGGCGGAACCCGGAUGAAGAAACGCCGCGUGCGGGAUAACGGCUUUCGGGUUGAAACCGCUUUCAGCAGGGGCGAAGCUUGUGGUGACGGUACCUGCAGAAGAAGCACCGGCUAACUACGUG